UACCGAGUGAGGGCCCUCUGGGUCCAACCUCCCACCCGUGUUUAUUUUACCUUGUUGCUUCGGCGGGCCCGCCUUAACUGGCCGCCGGGGGGCUCACGCCCCCGGGCCCGCGCCCGCCGAAGACACCCUCGAACUCUGUCUGAAGAUUGAAGUCUGAGUGAAAAUAUAAAUUAUUUAAAACUUUCAACAACGGAUCUCUUGGUUCCGGCAUCGAUGAAGAACGCAGCGAAAUGCGAUACGUAAUGUGAAUUGCAAAUUCAGUGAAUCAUCGAGUCUUUGAACGCACAUUGCGCCCCCUGGUAUUCCGGGGGGCAUGCCUGUCCGAGCGUCAUUGCUGCCCUCAAGCCCGGCUUGUGUGUUGGGCCCCGUCCUCCGAUCUCCGGGGGACGGGCCCGAAAGGUAGCGGCGGCACCGCGUCCGGUCCUCGAGCGUAUGGGGCUUUGUCACCCGCUCUGUAGGCCCGGCCGGCGCUUGCCGAUCAACCCAAAUUUUUAUCCAGGUUGACCUCGGAUCAGGUAGGGAUACCCGCUGAACUU
rnacentral:rRNA from 1 species